CAGAGAUGUCAUAGCCGCAAGGUCUGUAUACAGGUGGUGCAUGGUUGUCGUCAGCUCGUGUCGUGAGAUGUUGGGUUAAGUCCCGCAACGAGCGCAACCCUCGUUCUGUGUUGCCAGCAUUUAGUUGGGGACUCACAGGAGACUGCCGGGGUUAACUCGGAGGAAGGUGGGGAUGACGUCAAAUCAUCAUGCCCCUUAUGUCUUGGGCUGCACGCAUGCUACAAUGGCUGGUACAAACGGCUGCAAUACCGCAAGGUGGAGCGAAUCCGAGAAAGCCAGUCUCAGUUCGGAUUGGGGUCUGCAACUCGACCCCAUGAAGUCGGAGUUGCUAGUAAUCGUAGAUCAGCAACGCUACGGUGAUACGUUCCCGGGGCUUGUACACACCGCCCGUCACGUCACGAAAGUCGGUAACACCCGAAGUCAGUGGCCCAACCGCAAGGAG
rnacentral:rRNA from 1 species